rnacentral:rRNA from 1 species
CACGCCGUAAACGAUGAGUAUUAGGUGUUGGUGAGAAUCAGUGCCGGAGUUAACACAAUAAAUACUCCGCCUGGGGAGUACGGUCGCAAGACUGAAACUCAAAGGAAUUGACGGGACCCCGCACAAGUAGCGGAGCAUGUGGUUUAAUUCGAAGCAACGCGAAGAACCUUACCAGGUCUUGACAUCCUCUGACAGCGUUAGAGAUAGCGAAUUCCUUUCGGGGACAGAGAGACAGGUGG